rnacentral:ribozyme from 1 species
AUGGAAACUAUAUCAGAAAAUCGAAAACCCUCUAAGAUUAGCAUGGUGAAGAAGCAUGUCGCCAACCUUA